UUGAUGAGGAUGGAGGUCAUAGUGUUAGAACAAAUAUCGCAACGAAAAUUUAAUUGUGAUUUAAAUCUAACUAAAUAUUAUUAUGAAAAUAAAUAAAUACAAACUUACAGAUAAAUGCAAAUCCAAAUAAAUAUUUAAUUGAUCCGGAAGCGUGCGAGGCACUGCCCUAAGGCGUAUUCCCGUCCUUACGUGCGGGAUUAACCGGGAACAACACCCCAAGGUACGACCGGAAUUCCUCCUCCUGCGAGCACGAUCGUGAAGGAGGUUGACGAAGACUCUUUCAACACCCAGCGAUUAACAGAAGAAAAUUAACUUAUGAAAAGAAAACUCAAAGUAAAAAUUCUAUUCACUAUUCUUCAUGCAUAAGAUAAUAUAUCACUCUCUACUGACCACAGUAGAUGUAUAUAUAAAUAUAUGCAUGAAGGUUGUAGAGNAUUGUAUGAACAGUAAAAACAAGUAUUUAUAUACAUGCGAAAGAGAAAAGUUAACGUUGGAAUUCCCAACGUUAACUUUUUUCUUAAUUAGACCCCUUAAUUAGCGCCAAUAAGUGUCCGCAUGUAACAGAGCGCAAGUACGCGAAACGUCCGCGCGGCAUAUGGACGGUGCGGACGCUCACUUAAUAAAAAGAUAAAUAAUAAAAAUAAAUUAGAUUAAUAUUUUAAAAUAUAAAAUUUUGAAUUUUCAUCAACAAUCCCCCACAAAAUUCAAAAUUACAAAAUAAGAAUCAAUAAAUAAAAUAAAUAAAUGAACAAAUAAAUCUCCAAGAUAAUAAAUAAAAUAAUAAUAAUAAUAAAUCACUGGUGUUUAUACUAUGCAAUAGGUAAGGUGUCUUUAAGGACUUAACCUCACUUAGUGUAAAUAAUUUCCAUCAGAAGGAAUCGGAGUGAACCAGGUCUUGAACUACGUUCCUUUGGCCCUGACUUCAACUAUCACACACACAGUACAGAAUUCUCCGUCGCGGGUCUGUGCGUUAAUGGCCAUGCACAGUACCUUGAUUUUUCAUAAGAGUUUCUAUGUAUAGCCCAUUCACAUAGCCGCGGCCACAUACGGAUACUCUUAUAUAGGUGGUUUCCUCCAGGGAUGUGUGUAGAGUCACAUCUCGCGAAAAUUAUCGCCUUGGAUCCCAUUAAGAGCUCUCAGCUCAACCUAAUCCACUACACAGAGCACUACUCACCAUAGGGAUAGGAUUGGAGCUAAAGCUCCUCUAUAUAAACAGUAGACAGUGCUCUUUGGCCAACCUGACAGCUUGUUUUUACCACAUUGAACCUUCUUCAAGGGAUCUCCUAUCAUAAAGGUUGGGUUCCCACUGCAGGAAGGCCCUUUACGGGCAAAGUCCCAUCCCCCUCGAUGACUACAGGACCAUAGUCCUCUUUAGGCCUUCAAUCUAGUAAUCUGCAAGAUUCUAGUCAAAUCUGACAAAACUCAAAUAAAUAAUAUGAUAGAUAAUUAACCAUCUAACAUAUUUCUAUCAAAAUUUAUCAAAUUGAUAAAAAUGCUCCCCCCACAAAUUCUGAGAUACACUAAAAUUUAAAAUUAUGAAAUUUAAUCAUGUUAAAUAGAGUUUGAUUCAACAACAAAUAGAUACUCUAAAUAAUUUAAAAAUUAAAUUUCAAUUAGGUAAUUUUGUGCAAAUAACAUAUGCAAUUAAAUAAUAUCUAUGCAGUAAUGUGCAAGCAAAAUCGCUGGGCACCAAUUUGAAAAUGCACCAACAUGAGCUCACCUAUCAACAUGUUCUAUGGAAAACAUAGCAUAGCAUAGGUAACAUCUAGCUUUCAUUUGGAUUUCACAAUUACCAAAAAUCAGUACAAUGUCAUUGUGGAAAACAAAGUAAAAUGGAUUUUACCUGAUCAAGAAAUUCGCACACUAAAAUCUUUUUUCUGUAGCAAAAUUGUUUAAAAAAAAAAUUAAUUUUGCUGUAGCACAGACAGUAGACAUGAAAUAAAAUGCAAACGGAUUAUAUGCAAUUAAUUUUUAAAAAUGCUAAUCCUGAUUAAUUUAACUUUGUAUGUCAAUCAUACAAAUAAGUUAUCAAACAAAAUCUAUGCAAAAUAUAUAUGUAUAUAUUUUAAUGGNUCGGAGAUGUGUAUAAGAGACAGGAUUUAAUCACAAUCAGAUAGGGAACUACGCCUUAGAUUGUUAGAACAAAUAUCGCAACGAAAAUCUAAUUGUGAUUUAAAUCUAACUAAAUAUUAUUAUGAAAAUAAAUAAAUACAAACUUACAGAUAAAUGCAAAUCCAAAUAAAUAUUUAAUUGAUCCGGAAGCGUGCGAGACACUGCCCUAAGGCGUAUUCCCGUCCUUACGUGCGGGAUUAACCGGGAACAACACCCCAAGGUACGACCGGAAUUCCUCCUCCUGCGAGCACGAUCGUGAAGGAGGUUGACGAAGACUCUUUCAACACCCAGCGAUUAACAGAAGAAAAUUAACUUAUGAAAAGGAAACUCAAAGUAAAAAUUCUAUUCACUAUUCUUCAUGCAUAAGAUAAUAUAUCACUCUCUACUGACCACA
rnacentral:lncRNA from 1 species